rnacentral:rRNA from 1 species
AUUGAACGCUGGCGGCAUGCCUUACACAUGCAAGUCGAACGGCAGCACGGGAGCAAUCCUGGUGGCGAGUGGCGAACGGGUGAGUAAUAUAUCGGAACGUGCCCAGUCGUGGGGAUAACGUAGCGAAAGCUACGCUAAUACCGCAUACGAUCUAUGGAUGAAAGCGGGGGAUCGCAAGACCUCGCGCGAUUGGAGCGGCCGAUAUCAGAUUAGGUAGUUGGUGAGGUAAAGGCUCACAAGCCGACGAUCUGUAGCUGGUCUGAGAGGACGACCAGCCACACGUGGGACUGAGACACGGCCCAGACUCCUACGGGAGGCAGCAGUGGGAAUUUUGGACAAGU